rnacentral:rRNA from 1 species
CAGAACGAACGCUGGCGGCGUGCCUAACACAUGCAAGUCGAACGUGAUUGAGGGGCUUGCUCCUCAUGAAAGUGGCGCACGGGUGAGUAACGCGUAGAUAAUCUGCCUGGUGAUUUGGGAUAACACUUCGAAAGGGGUGCUAAUACCGGAUAAGCCCACGGAGUCCUUGGACUCUGCGGGAAAAGGAGGGGACCUUCGGGCCUUCCGUCAUCAGAUGAGUCUGCGUACCAUUAGCUAGUUGGUAGGGUAAAGGCCUACCAAGGCGACGAUGGUUAGCUGGUCUGAGAGGAUGAUCAGCCACACUGGAACUGAGACACGGUCCAGACUCCUACGGGAGGCAGCAGUGGGGAAUUUUGCGCAAUGGGGGAAACCCUGACGCAGCAACGCCGCGUGAGUGAUGAAGGCCCUUGGGUCGUAAAGCUCUGACAGAGGGAAAGAAAUGUGGGUGGCUAAUAUCCAUUCCACUUGACGGUACCCUCAAAGGAAGCACCGGCUAACUCCGUGCCAGCAGCCGCGGUAA